AGGGUUUGAUCAUGGCUCAGAUUGAACGCUGGCGGCAGGCCUAACACAUGCAAGUCGAGCGGUAGAGAGAAGCUUGCUUCUCUUGAGAGCGGCGGACGGGUGAGUAAUGCCUAGGAAUCUGCCUGGUAGUGGGGGAUAACGUUCGGAAACGGACGCUAAUACCGCAUACGUCCUACGGGAGAAAGCAGGGGACCUUCGGGCCUUGCGCUAUCAGAUGAGCCUAGGUCGGAUUAGCUAGUUGGUGAGGUAAUGGCUCACCAAGGCGACGAUCCGUAACUGGUCUGAGAGGAUGAUCAGUCACACUGGAACUGAGACACGGUCCAGACUCCUACGGGAGGCAGCAGUGGGGAAUAUUGGACAAUGGGCGAAAGCCUGAUCCAGCCAUGCCGCGUGUGUGAAGAAGGUCUUCGGAUUGUAAAGCACUUUAAGUUGGGAGGAAGGGUUGUAGAUUAAUACUCUGCAAUUUUGACGUUACCGACAGAAUAAGCACCGGCUAACUCUGUGCCAGCAGCCGCGGUAAUACAGAGGGUGCAAGCGUUAAUCGGAAUUACUGGGCGUAAAGCGCGCGUAGGUGGUUUGUUAAGUUGGAUGUGAAAUCCCCGGGCUCAACCUGGGAACUGCAUUCAAAACUGACUGACUAGAGUAUGGUAGAGGGUGGUGGAAUUUCCUGUGUAGCGGUGAAAUGCGUAGAUAUAGGAAGGAACACCAGUGGCGAAAGGCGACCACCUGGACUAAUACUGACACUGAGGUGCGAAAGCGUGGGGAGCAAACAGGAUUAGAUACCCUGUAGUCCACGCCGUAACGAUGUCAACUAGCCGUUGGAAGCCUUGAGCUUUUAGUGCGCAGCUAACGCAUUAAGUUGACCGCCUGGGGAGUACGG
rnacentral:rRNA from 1 species